ensembl:scaRNA small Cajal body-specific RNA 14
GUGGUGCCCAGUGUAAUGUCUCCAUUACUGUCCAGUGUAAUGUGGUCUGAGGGGCCCACCACAGAGUGAUGCUGGGUCCUGCCGACAGGGACGAAGAGUCUGGCUCCCUGUGCGAUGGAUCCAUACAAA